rnacentral:rRNA from 3 species
GCAUAUCAAUAAGCGGAGGAAAAGAAACCAACAGGGAUUGCCCUAGUAACGGCGAGUGAAGCGGCAACAGCUCAAAUUUGAAAUCUGGCUUCGGCCCGAGUUGUAAUUUGCAGAGGAAGCUUUAGGCGCGGCACCUUCUGAGUCCCCUGGAACGGGGCGCCAUAGAGGGUGAGAGCCCCGUAUAGUUGGAUGCCUAGCCUGUGUAAAGCUCCUUCGACGAGUCGAGUAGUUUGGGAAUGCUGCUCAAAAUGGGAGGUAAAUUUCUUCUAAAGCUAAAUACCGGCCAGAGACCGAUAGCGCACAAGUAGAGUGAUCGAAAGAUGAAAAGCACUUUGAAAAGAGGGUUAAAUAGCACGUGAAAUUGUUGAAAGGGAAGCGCUUGUGACCAGACUUGCGCCGGGCGGAUCAUCCGGUGUUCUCACCGGUGCACUCCGCCCGGCUCAGGCCAGCAUCGGUUCUCGCGGGGGGAUAAAGGUCUCGGGAACGUAGCUCCUCCGGGAGUGUUAUAGCCCGGGGCGUAAUGCCCUCGCGGGGACCGAGGUUCGCGCAUCUGCAAGGAUG